CAUUAUUCAUUAAAGACAAAGAUCAUUUUCUUUUCCUCCCCCCCACCCCCUGUAGCCGACGCGUGAUUCCACUGGGUGUCACAUGUUUUCUUGAUUCGAACCCAUUGCUAUGUUGUUAAUAUUUGCAUUAGAGUGUUCAUUUAGAGUCUCUCCUCUGACCUGUCCCCUCAACUGCUGUGGUCAGGCAGUUGCUUUUCCUCGGUGUUUCUACUCCCACAGUUUGUCCUCUGCCUAUGAAUAGUGUUUUUUCUCCUAGAUCCCUGCAGAUUGUUCAGGGACAUUACACCGCCACUAAUGGAGAAGUCCAUUACCUUCGAUUAUACCACAGUGUAUUAGUCUCUGUGUACAAUGUUCUCCUGGUUCUGCUCCUCUCGCUCUGCAUCACUUCCUGGAGGUUGUUCCAGUCCCCAUGGAAUUCCUCCACUUUAUUAUUCCUUUGAGCACAAUAGUAUUCCAUCACCAACAUAUACCACAAUUUGUUCAGCCAUUCCCCAAUUGAUGGGCAUCCCCUGGUUUUCCAAUCUGCAUAAUACUUUUAACACCAAUUGGAUACAUGAUAUCAAUUAGAGAUUUUCCUCCACCAUUAUUGAGAUCACAACUCAUACAUGUUUUCUCAUCAUGUUUGAUUUUUGUCUAUGUCCUCCCAUAAAUCUUCCAGAGAUGGAUCUACCCAAAGGGAUAGAAGUCUUUCUCUUGGGUCUUUAGCAAUUUGUGACUACCAGUGUAGUUCUCAGGUGGUCCAUUUAUUUUCAUUCCUCAUUUUUUGCUGCACAACUAGCUUACUUUUGGUUCAGAUCAUACCUUAUUUACAUGAUGUCUUUAAAACAAUUUUUUUUUUGUUACAAUACUCACUUUAUUUCCCUCCGUCCCCUCCACGUACCCUUUCUGCAGCCAACGCGCAAUUUCAUUGGGUAUUACUUGUGCCCUUGAUCAGAACCUAUUUCCAUGUUGUCGUUUGCACUAGGAUUACAGGGUGUCUUUUUAAUAAUUUUAUUGACAUGAUGAUGCAUUUUAUGUUACUUAUGCUCACCAUGUAUUUAUCCAUUGACACUGCAUUUUUAACUUUUCAGAGGUCAUAGAAUGCCUUAAUAAAUGACCGUCUAACUUUGCUGGAGAAUUCUGCUAUUAAAAAAGAUGGAGUUUUCGGGGCAGGGAAUUAGUUUGGAUUGACUGAAAGUACUGAGAAAUUUCUCAAAUGUGAUCCAGUUCAUUUUCUUCCUCUUACUAAAUACUAAUUCAUUGUGGGCACCAAUCCAAUUGCUUAUGGUUGGAAUAAUAUUUAUCUUUUUUUUUCCAAUGUGGUUAGUGAGGACCAUCUCUUUUUAUCUGUCAUGAAGAAAAUUUAUAGUAUUUUGAGUCUCAAUGUAAUCAGCACAAUAUAAUUUGUGAACAGAAUCAUCAAGAGGAUCUUAACAUCUUAGAGAAUCUUUCUUUCUUUUGGACCUUUGGUAGAAUAGCCACAAAGUCAGUGAACAGAGGAAUACACUUUGGUGCUCAUUGAUUCUACCUCCAAAGGCUCUACUGCAGAUUCUGGUUGUUGGUGGAUUAUCUCAUAGUUCUAAUACAUUUCUUGAAAUCAUAUUGUUGCCUGGUCACUCUCAUCUUAGAAUGCCCAUUUACCUAAAGUCAGGAGAGGAUAAAUAAAAUAAACAGUCUUAUAUGACUAAAAAUCAGCUCCCAGAGUUUCAUAUGCUUUUUUGGAGCCAGGCAGGGAAAAUCUAUUCAUGCUCUGUGGGUAUAAACCACCAGGAAGAGCAAAUCCAAGCAUCAUCUAAGGACAGGCCCUCAUACCCUAGUACAGAAUGUUUCUUUAAAAAGGGCAGCACAAGUUCAAUCAUUCAAAUAAGGAGAGAGGGAAGGUGUGAGUCUGUAUGUCAGGGCAAAGAGUAGUCUAAAACUACUCAAUAAAACAUGUUGAUCAGUAUUUUUUGCUGAUUUUUUAAAAGGUGACUUAUUAAGACUAGGUAUAAGGAAAAUAAAUCUUAGAAUUUUUAUCUUAAAUGUUAUUGAACCGAAUGCAUCAGUAAAAUGAAAGAGUCACAGAAUGGAUUGAAAAACAGAAUCCAGUAAUUUGCUAUUUAUAAGAAACAUAAUUAAAAAUGAAGACAUAUACAUAGUUUCUCUUGGAUUUUAUUAUUGCUAUAUAUAAAAAUGUUGACUUUUUGAAGCUUAUUUUGUAUUCUACUUUACUGAAGAUAUUAGUAAUCUCAGUUUCCUUAUUGAUUCUCUGGGGUGUAAAAAUGGAGAUGUGAACCCUAGACUUCAAUCCCCAGAAGUCCUUGCUAGUUCCCAGAUUGCCCUGUAAUCUCCCGGAGUCCUCACUUGAGUGCGAGAACACAAUGGCUAUUUAAACUGACUGUACCUCCUACUCUCUCUCCCUGCUUCCGCUUCCAAGCACACUGGUCUCUCAAGAUGUAGAAUUAUUCAGGGAAGCACAAAUGAGAAGAAAUAACAUCUGAGAAAAGAGAGCCUGGAAUGAGAGAGGAGGCUUUUGGUCAAAUAGAAAGUUGAGGAAGAGAAGAGGAAACUGCUAAGCAGAAAGGGAUCUCCGAAGAGAAAGACUGUGUGUCAUGUUGUGAAUGCAACAUGUUCGACAGCAUUCCUGCCGAGGAAAUAUCUUCUAUGAUGGGUAAGCAAAUACCAUCUUUCAUUAAAAACAUCAGAAAAAUUUCAUCUGAAACUUCUGAACAGUCAGGGGGAGGAAAACUCCUAAUGACAACAAAAAGCCCACUUAUGCCAGGAGCCACAUGACUG